UACGUAGGGGGCAAGCGUUGUUCGGAAUUACUGGGCGUAAAGGGCGCGUAGGCGGCCUUCUAAGUCAGACGUGAAAUCCCCGGGCUCAACCUGGGAACUGCAUUUGUGACUGCAUCGCUGGAGUGCGGCAGAGGGGGAUGGAAUUCCGCGUGUAGCAGUGAAAUGCGUAGAUAUGCGGAGGAACACCGAUGGCGAAGGCAAUCCCCUGGGCCUGCACUGACGCUCAUGCACGAAAGCGUGGGGAGCAAACAGG
rnacentral:rRNA from 1 species